CCUACGGGAGGCAGCAGUGGGGAAUAUUGGGCAAUGGGCGCAAGCCUGACCCAGCAACGCCGCGUGAAGGAAGAAGGCUUUCGGGUUGUAAACUUCUUUUCUGAGGGACGAAGAAAGUGACGGUACCUCAGGAAUAAGCCACGGCUAACUACGUGCCAGCAGCCGCGGUAAUACGUAGGUAGCAAGCGUUAUCCGGAUUGAUUGGGUGUAAAGGGCGUGUAGGCGGGAAAGCAAGUCAGAUGUGAAACCUCAGGGCUCAACCCUGAGCCUGCAUUUGAAACUGUUUUUCUUGAGUGCUGGAGAGGCAAUCGGAAUGCCGGGGGUAGCGGUGAAAUGUGUAGAUAUACGGAGGAACACCAGUGGCGAAGGCGGAUUGCUGGACAGUAACUGACGCUGAGGCGCGAAAGCGUGGGGAGCAAACAGGAUUAGAUACCCGAGUAGUC
rnacentral:rRNA from 1 species